UACGUAGGGGGCGAGCGUUGUCCGGAGUUACUGGGCGUAAAGGGCAUGCAGGCGGUCCGACACGUUUUGUGUGACAGCGGGUGGCUUAACUACCCGAGGAUACGAAAGACGGUUGGACUUGAGGACUCGAGAGGGACACGGAAUUCCGGGUGGAGUGGUGAAAUGCGUAGAGAUCCGGAGGAACCCCAGAGGCGAAGGCGGCGCCCUGGCCUGUUCUUGACGCUGAGGCGCGAAAGCUAGGGGAGCAAACGGG
rnacentral:rRNA from 1 species